rnacentral:rRNA from 1 species
UACGAAGGGGGCUAGCGUUGUUCGGAAUUACUGGGCGUAAAGCGCACGUAGGCGGACAUUUAAGUCAGAGGUGAAAUCCCAGGGCUCAACCCUGGAACUGCCUUUGAUACUGGGUGUCUUGAGUACGAGAGAGGUGAGUGGAAUUCCGAGUGUAGAGGUGAAAUUCGUAGAUAUUCGGAAGAACACCAGUGGCGAAGGCGGCUCACUGGCUCGUAACUGACGCUGAGGUGCGAAAGCGUGGGGAGCAAAC